UCCCCUGGGACCGGAGAUACAGACAGGUGUAAGCUGGCAGGUGGGUGCUGGGAAUUGAACCUGGGUCUUCUGGGAGAACAGCCAGUGUUCUUAACUGCUGAGCCAUCUCUCCAGUUCUUGAAUUUUUGUUGUUAUUUAUUGAUUUUUGAGACAGGAUUUCAUCUUGUUGACCAGGCUGGCCUCAAACUCAGAGAAGCACCUGCCUCUGCCCCCUGAGUGCUGGGAUUAAAGAUAUGCUCCAUACCUGGGUAAUUAGUUAAACUAUUUGUGGAUAUUGGUGUCUGUGUGUGUGUAUGUAUAUGUCUGUGUGUCUCUGUGUGUACGUCUAUGUGUGUGUGUGUCUGUCUGUGUCUAUUUGUGUGUCUGUGUCUGUGUACAUAUCUGUGUAUGUGUGUGUGUGUGUGUGUGAAUGUUGUGUGAUACUUUCAUUGUGUUCUGACAAAUAAAACUUGCUUGGAGUCAGAGGGAAGAGCUAGCCACUAGUUAGCCAUAGAGGGCUGGAGGUCUGUACAGAGAGGAGACAGAAGUGAUAAGGUGGGGCGGAGACAGGAUCUUGGUCCUUUGGGAUGGAGGAAUGGAAGAGGUAGCAAGCCACCAGUGACUUCUCCACAGCUUCUCUGAUCCCUCAGGCUUUUAGUGAUAAGAUUGAUUAGAUUUACUCUUUGUUUGGCAUCUGACUUCUGGGGCACAGAUUCAAAAAAUAGCCGCUUGCUAGUGGCUUUGCAGCCACCGGCACAGGCAGGCCAAAGCUGCACACAGGAGCAGCACCCCAGAGUCACUGCACCUCUGGCUGGGUUUUCCUUUUCUUCCCCAAGCCCUCUGGGAUUUUUCUCUAUGGCAAUCCCCACAAGCACUUGGGCUCCAAACACUGCCAGAGUCAGCCCCUCCCCACUGGGUUCACUCCCUCCGUGGGUUUCAGGCCUCCCCUGGGCCCCCUCUUUGGGUUUUUGCCAUACUAGGUAUCUGGCUUGACACCUACUCAGGCUUCCACAGUGGGGGAUACCGCACACAUCGGCUCACAGUACACGCUAGCAGCAGCACCACCUGUGUUCCCUGUCAGACCGCAGUCAGCCUCACUCAGCGCCAUCGUUGUCAGCAGAUUUGAAGGCCCUUGCUUCUGGAGUAUGCAGAAGGUGCAGCAAAGACCGACAUUGGACCAAUGAGUGCAGAUCAACAAGGGACAGACAAGGAACUUUUGAUGCAGAGAGAAGAUAAUGUCUUAGAGCGGAUUUUUUUUUUUAACCACAAAAACAGGGUAAAAAAAAAAAAAUCAAAGACCUAUGUAGAAAAGUUUUCUGUGGUGAUUCUAGAAGAAAAAUCGAGACUUUAUCAAUUAGCAGGAAUAGACCCGAAAUUGUACAGGAAUUUCUUCUUUAUGGGCAGAAAAGGAACAUUGGCAAAGAGCUUGCAGUAACUCUUUGGGAGAGAUUAAUAACAAAUAUCCAAAAAGCAAGAGACUUCGGCUUUAUAAAGAGAACCAGUUGGAUCCUUCCUCACACUGUACGGGACACACCAAUAACCGGAGCCCCUACAUUCUGUACUGGUGUAGGAGGCCCUUCUGCAUUUGUGUUGCUUUCAUUGGUCAUUAAAGAAGCCUUGGCCUAAUUGAUAGGACGGAACUCAGGUAGGCAGGGAAGACAGAACAGAAUUCUGGGAAGAAGGACAGUGUGGCAGAUGCCAUGAAUCUCCUGCCUGAAGCAGACGCUGGUUAGACUCAUGCUGGUAAGCCACAGUCAAGUGGCGAUACACAUUAAUGGGGAUGGGUUAAACUAAUAUGUGAGAGUUAGCCAAUAAGAGGCUAGACAUAAUGGGCCAGGCAGUGAUUUAAUUAAUACAAUUUCUGUGUGAUUAUUUUGGGUAUAAGCUAGCCGGGCAGCUGGAACAAGGGGCCCCACUCCUUACUACACUAUACUGAUGCAAAUAAAUCAGGAAAAGCAGGUUACAAAUCAGGAAAUUUGGGUAAAGUGGCUCAAAGCCCUUAUGAUUCUGUAUAAAAGUCAGAAUUACAUGCUAUUCUCAUGGUAUUAUUAGAUUUUUCAAACCUAUUUUUUAAUAUUUUUAUUUAUUUAUUAUGUAUACAAUAUUCUGUCUGUGUGUAUGCUCAAAGGCCAGAAGAGGGCACCAGACCCCAUUACAGAUGGCUGUGAGCCACCAUGUGGUUGCUGGGAAUUGAA